GAGAAGGUCUUCGGAUUGUAAAGCCUUUUAGUGGAGAAGAUAAUGACGGUACCACAGAAAAAGCACCGGCAAACUUCGUGCCAGCAGCCGCGAGUAAUACGAAGGGUGCUAGCGUUGUUCGGAAUCAUUGGGCGUAAAGCGUGCGUAGGCGGCUUAGUAAGUCGUUUGUGAAAUACCUAGGCUUAACUUAGGAACUGCAAUCGAAACUACUUUGCUAGAGUUUGGUGGGGGAUAGUGGAACUCCUAGUGUAGGGGUGAAAUCCGUAGAGAUUAGGAGGAAUAUCAGUGGCGAAGGCGACUAUCUACACCAAUACUGACGCUGAGGUACGAAAGCGUGGGGAGCAAACAGGAUUAGAUACCCUGGUAGUCCACGCAGUAAACGAUGAGUGCUAGUUGUCGGGAUCUUAGAUUUCGGUGGCGAAGCUAACGCGUUAAGCACUCCGCCUGGGGACUACGGUCGCAAGACUAAAACUCAAAGGAAUUGACGGGGACCCGCACAAGCAGUGGAUCAUGUGGUUUAAUUCGAUGCUACACGAAAAACCUUACCAACCCUUGACAUCUGGAUGACUGGUACAGAGAUGUGCCUUCGGAGCAAUCC
rnacentral:rRNA from 1 species